CACGUAGUUAGCCGGAGCUUAUUCUACAGGUACUGUCCUUUUUCUUCCCUGUCUAAAGCAGUUUACAAUCCGAAAACCUUCUUCCUGCACGCGACGUCACUGCGUCAGAGUUUCCUCCAUUGCGCAAUAUUCCCGACUGCUGCCUCCCGUAGGAGUCUGGGCCGUAUCUCAGUCCCAAUGUGGCCGUUCAACCUCUCAGUCCGGCUACUGAUCGUUGACUUGGUAGGCCUUUACCCCACCAACUAUCUAAUCAGACGCAAGCCCAUCUAUCAGCGGAUUUCUCCUUUCCCUAUUGUACCAUGUGGUACUUAGGCAUAUGCGGUAUUAGCAGUCAUUUCUAACUGUUGUUCCCCUCUGAUAGGCAGGUUGCUUACGUGUUACUCACCAGUCCGCCACUAACCGCUCCAAUAGUAAACUAUGGUUAAGUCCGUUCGACUUGCAUGUCUUAUGUGCGCCGCCAGUCGUUUAUCCUGAGCCAGGAUCAAACUCU
rnacentral:rRNA from 1 species